GGGAGGGCCGCGGGAUCGCCAUGCUCAACCUUCUGAAGACCCUGAGCCAGAGCAUCGCCCCCUCCAUGGCUGACAUGUGGGAGCUGGAGAUCCCGCUGCUGGUGAAGUACCUGGAAGGUGAGAUGUCCCGGGUAUGUGUGCAAGCCAUCUGCUAAGUGCACAUGCCAGGUACUAGAUGUGUGGCAUGAGCAAAGGAGCCUGUGGUGCUUGUGUGAUCCCUACUGUACAUGCUGUGUACUAACCACCUGGUCUGAGCAAAGGAGCCUGGGGCGUGUGAGCCACCCUCCAUCUGUGUACCUGCCGUGUACAAGUCACGUGGCCUGAGCCAGGGCGCCCAGGCUCCCGGUGGCCAGCACAGCCUACUCUGGUCCUUGGAGGGUGGGGAGGGAAGUGCGGCGUGUGGGGAGCCCGUCCACGGAGGACCCCAGCUGCUGCAUUUGGGAGGCGGCAUGGAGGAGCGGCAGGAGGCAGGAGCGCGGGCGGCCUGCAGAACACACUGAGUUUACGUGGAACCAGGAGACGUGGGAGGACAAGCUGAUUCAGUUUCUGAGAAACUCCCUCAAGAAGACUCGGGGUUCCAACUGGAGCCUGCGUCUGAGCAAAGAGCUGAACAACCAGAUCGAGAGCUUCGACAGCCCCUCCCUGGAGAAGGGCUUUCUGUACCGGGCCUUGGGCUUCACCCUGGCCACGGGCCUGGAGGCCGACAAGGUGGAAGUGCUGCUGCUGGAGCUGCUGUACAAGACGGACUACAGCAACGACUUCGACCGGGAGGUGCGGGUGCCCCGCGGUCCCCUCCGGGCCUUGGGAGGACGCGGUGUGCGCGUGCCUGUGCGUGUGCGCGUGCCUGUGCGUGUGCGCGUGCCUGUGCGUGUGCGCGUGCCUGUGCGUCUCUCCGUGUGUGGGGGAGGGGGGGCGCAGCGCACGGGGUGCCCUCAGCCUGCCCGCUGGGUCCUCCCGCAGGGCGUGAUCCUGUGCUUUGGCCUGUGUGCCCGGGGCCAGGUGAAGACGGUGCUGGGCGUGCUCCAUGACUUUGAAGAGAGGAUCCAGGAGUCGGAGCAGUCCUGGCAGAUUGGCGCCUGGCGGAAGGACCAUCCCUGGAGGCGGGAGACGGUGAAGGGCGCGCUCAUGGUGAUGUACAGCUGCGUGGCCUCCUACUGCCACCCGCAGAUGCUUCUCAUCCACGUGGACAACCCCAUCACCACCAAGAUCAUCCACCACUACUCCAGCAGCUGCCAGACUCAGAAGAAGCCUGCCAUUCUCUACAACUUCUUGCUAGAAACAAUGACCUAUGUUAAAAGCAACUUGUCAAGGAUCAGAAUCGCUGCAUGUAACUUGGCAGGAAUCAUUAUGAAGCAGAUGUCUGCGCAUUACUUGAGAAAGCUGGAUUUUCCAGCAUUACGGAAUUCUCUCCAGGAGCUACAGCUGGACUCAGAUCCUGGUGUUUGGAGGGCAGCUCUGGAGACGCCUAACAUCUUGGAUACCUGCAGUCAGCAGCAGCUUUUGGCUUCACCUGAAGGAAUCUCCUAGGUGGUCUAAGUGCAAAACAUACCUUUAUCCUGGGGGCCAAACCCCACUGCACCACCGCAAACCACUUUUAAUUGUGUUUGUAAGAAAAAAUAUUUUACUUAAAUAAUCAGUGCCCCUUUCUUUCCUCCCCUUGAAAUAAACCUCCCUUGCUAUUUGGAGAGCAGAUUCCUGACUGCAAGGAGAUGACGCCCCAGAGCUGAGACAGUGAUUGUUUACCUCUUUGGGAUAAUGAGGUGAAGGGAAAUUAAGUGAAGGGAAAUUCUGGUCCUAGCGGGGAUUAGAUUCCUGUGUCCCCUGAGUGUGUGUGUGUGUGAGUGUGUGUGUGUGUGUGUGUGUGUGUGUGAGGCCAGAGGAUCUGGGGUUCCCGUUGUGUCUUCACUGCAUUUCAGUUCCUCCCAAGUGGAUGGUGUGUGUCCACUGCCAGGCUCUGUGCUGGGGCCCCAGGGGGGCCCAGCUACUGUCCAGCCCUGCUUCCAGGAGCCCUGCCCUUAAAGGGAAAGGAGACAUCUCCCAGCACCCAUGUCGCACCCAGGAUGAGGGAGGGCGGCCACCGAUGGGGGCAGUGCUGGUGCCCGUCUGCAGGGUGUAACUCAGGGGGCUUCAGGGAGGAAGUGACACCACACCGUCCACCCUCGUCUCUUUCAUAUCAGGGUCCACUGGGCCAGGAUGGGAAGGGACCCAGCGAGGCCUGGAGCAGAACCCAUGAAGGGCCAAAGGGAGGAGUUACCUUCAAGUCCAAGAAACAGGCAGGGGGAGAAGGGCAGGGAAACUCUUCCUACACUCACGCUGCCAGCGGGACAGUCUCGGGUUGUCCCCAGAGCAGAUGGAGGUGGGAUUUCCAAACCAGUCCCACUGUAACAGCCCAAGGCAGUCACCACCCUGGGCCCAUGGGUGGGAGGAUUGCAAAACAGUCCAGAAAACCAACCUGCACUGGAGGCUUCCCAGGAGACUGGUCUCACACUCUUGGUGGUGCCCACGGAACAGACAGUGGAGUUACUUCCUGCUGAGUGAUGAAGAUGGUGGCUGCUGGAAGACUCAAGUCCCAGUGACGCAGCCAGAAAGGAUGUGCCCUUCACUCUAGGCCCGGGGGAAGCCGUACGAUUGCAGAGUCAGGUCUCUGAUCAAUUCUGUUCAUGCCUGUGCAAAACAUCUCCAGAUGGUUUAUAGACCUGAACUCAGAAAGCAAAAAUUUAAGACAAUAUAGUCAUUUUGAUCCUGAGACUAGGGUAGGAUGUCCUUUAAGAGUAAUGAAUGAAACAAGUUAAAAAUAAAGGAUUAACUUUUGUAAGUUACAGUAUAUCUUCUGGGACUUUGCUGGUGGUCCAGUGAUUAAAAUUCCAUGCUUCCACUGCAGGGAGCUUAGGUUCUGUCCCUGGUUGGGGAACUAAGAGCCUUAUGCCAUGCAGUGCAAUUAAAAAAAAAGAAAAUUUCUUGAAUAAAAAUGAAAAUACA
ensembl:lincRNA